GCCCAGACCGGCUAGAGCUUGGUGGGGGGUGGAGGGGGAAGAGAGCAAGAGGGCACAGAACUUCUGCUGGGGUGUUAGAUGCGGGCAACCAGCCCAGGCUUUCUGGGCUGUGAUUGGAAUUCUGCUGGGGUCUCUCUAGGGGAGGUUUGUGCCUGCUCUCAGCGCAGCAUUGUUCCUGUGACGAGAAGGGCUUUUUAUGUGGCUUCCUUGGGAAAUCAGACAUGACCAGACUCCCUGCUGCGUGUCCGCGUUCGCUGCAGGCUGGUGGGAGAUGCCUUUGUGGUUCUUAGCACUUGAGAACAAGUUGCUUAAAAACCAAACCAAACAAAACAGAAUAGAGCAGAGCAGAGCACAGCAGAGCAAAGCAAAACAAAGCUCAUUGUUUUCUUUUAUUCCUUCAUUUAAAAAGCAGAGGUUUUGCAGAGACUUCGGACACAUGGAGACAAGAAUAACAAGUCAGGGAAGCCGUAGCAUUUCAGGCUGCCAAGUUCACACUGAGCUAUCUGAGAGGAUUUUUUUUGCAGAAGAGAAUAACGGGAACCCAAGACUGGGGCACUAGGGGAUAAAUGGAAGGCAUGAACUUGUGUAAAACCUUUGAGCACGAAGGACUCUAUUCUGGGGACUAAAGCUUCAUCCUGUUUUGUUUUGUUUUUUCCUGAAACAGAAACUGCGUUGAACUAUUGAACUGGGCAAAAGCAUAUGACUGAACACAGGACUGCUGCACCCACAUUCUUGAUAAAAAUUGGACACUCUGCAAAAAAUAUUUUCCUAGUAACUGUCACAAUGUACUCAGAUAAUUUUGUACAUUGUAAAAUGUAAUUAUGUCUUCCAGUCAGAAUUUUUGGAAGACAACCGGUGCAAAUUUCUGGAGACUUCUGCAGUUUGCUAAUAAAGACCCUGGGUGUUUACUGCUCCUCA
rnacentral:lncRNA from 1 species